GAUGAACGCUGGCGGCGUGCUUAACACAUGCAAGUCGAACGGAAAGGCCAGUGCUUGCACUGGUACUCGAGUGGCGAACGGGUGAGUAACACGUGGGUGAUCUGCCCUGUACUUCGGGAUAAGCUUGGGAAACUGGGUCUAAUACCGGAUAGGACAACUUUUUGGAUAUUGUUGUGGAAAGCUUUUGCGGUGUGGGAUCAGCUCGCGGCCUAUCAGCUUGUUGGUGGUGUAGUGGCGUACCAAGGCGUCGACGGGUAGCCGGCCUGAGAGUGUGUACGGCCGGACUAGACUUGUGCGAGAGCCCACAGUGGUGAGUAAGGGAGCAGUGGGGAAUAUUGGACAAUGGGAGCAAGCGUGAUGGAGCGAGGCCGCGUGGUGGUUGAAGGCCUUUGGGUUGUAAGCUCCUCUCGCGAGGGACGAAGCUUUUUUGUGACGGUACCUGGAGAAGAAGCACCGGCUAACUACGUG
rnacentral:rRNA from 1 species